UUUAAGAAUAGCUCGAAGUCGAACCAGAGCUCAUUUGCUCGGAAUCCAUGGCGACGGCGAGGGUGCUGGUAUCCGUCGAAAUUGGAAACAUGUACUGAAAUGGCUUCGGCGGCGGCACUAUCUCAACGCUUCCUUCCAACAUCUUCACUACCGCACUCAUUGGAGGCCGAUCCUCCGGCGAAUCCUGCACGCACCAAAGAGCCACCACACAAAUUCUCUCGAUCACCAUUUUCCUCUCUCCAUUCUCUUCAACAUCACAGUCGCUGCUCAUAUUCACUAAUUCGCCCUUCUCAAACCGCUCCCAUACCUGAAUCGGAAACCAAUCG
rnacentral:misc_RNA from 1 species